GCGGAGGGGGCAUGCUAUCAUGCAGUCGAGCGGAGAGAUGAGAGCUUGCUCCCUGAUGUUAGCGGCGGACGGGUGAGUAACACGUGGGUAACCUGCCUGUAAGACUGGGAUAACUCCGGGAAACCGGGGCUAAUACCGGAUGGUUGUUUGAACCGCAUGGUUCAAACAUAAAAGGUGGCUUCGGCUACCACUUACAGAUGGACCCGCGGCUCAUUAGCUAGUUGGUGAGGUAAGGGCUCACCAAGGCAACGAUGCGUAGCCGACCUGAGAGGGUGAUCGGCCACACUGGGACUGAGACACGGCCCAGACUCCUACGGGAGGAAUCUUUAGGGAAUCUUCCACAUUGGACGAAAGUCUGACGGAGCAACGCCGCGUGAGUGAUGAAGGUUUUCUGAUCGUAAAGCUCUGUUGUUAGGGAAGAACAAGUACCGUUCGAAUAUGGCGGUACCUUGACGGUACCUAACCAGAAAGCCCCGGCUAACUACGUGCCAACAGCCGCGGUGAUACGUAGGUGGCAAGCUUUGUCCGGGAUUAUUGGGCGUAAAGGGCUCGCAGGCUGUUUCUUAAAUCUGAUGUGAAAGCCCCCGGCUCAACCGGGGAGGGUCAUUGAAAACUGGGGAACUUGAGUGCAGAAAAGGAGAGUGGAAUUCCACGUGUAGCGGUGAAAUGCAAAAAUAUGUGAAGGAACACCAGUUGUCAAAGGCGACUCUCUGGUCUGUAACUGACACUCAUGAGCGAAAACCUGGGGGAGCCAACCGGGUGUAAAUACCCUGGGUAGUCCACCCCGUAACGAUGAGUGGCUAAGUGUUAGGGGGUUUCCCCCCCCUUAGUGCUGCAGCUAACGCAUUAAGCACUCCUCCCUGGGGGAGUACGGGGCGCGAGAGUUGAAACUCAAGGAAUUGACAGGCGCGCCGCACAGCUGGUGGUACAUGUGGUGUGAUAUACAAAGCCACCACCCAAGAACCUUUACCAGGGGGCUUGAGCAAUCCCUGAAUACACACCCAUAGCU
rnacentral:rRNA from 1 species